rnacentral:hammerhead_ribozyme from 1 species
AUCUAGACGACGAGUCUCAAAUAGGAUGAAAUGUGCAUCCUGUAU